UCCUCUUCUGCCAUGGUGGAUGUGCUACCUUUUCUGCACACCCCAAGGCUACCUACCAAGAGGUAGAUGACAAAAUAGCAGACGCUGUCAAACAUGCACCAGCUCGGGUCAAGAGUAAGAGAAGGGAGCGGGUUGAGGAAGCGACAGUGGAUGAGGAUGGAGCAGCUGUAACGGCAGCCUUCCUCCUCUUCAUCUGAAGAGGAGGUGUAGCAGGGAUCGGACCAA